GGAGGGAGCUCAGUGGUAGAGCAUGUGCUUAGCGUGCAUGAGGUCCUGGGUUCAAUCCCCAGUACCUCCA
rnacentral:tRNA from 1 species